rnacentral:rRNA from 1 species
CUAGGAUGAACGCUGGCGGCGUGCUUAACACAUGCAAGUCGAACGGUAGUUUUAACGGAAGUUUCGGAUGGAAGUUUAAGAACUUAGUGGCGGACGGGUGAGUAGCGCGUGGGUAACCUGCCUCAUACAGGGGGAUAACAGUUAGAAAUGACUGCUAACACCGCAUAAUAUAGUGAAACCGCAUGAUUUUGCUAUCAAAUAUUUAUAGGUAUGAGAUGGGCCCGCGUCUGAUUAGCUAGUUGGUGGGGUAAAAGCCUACCAAGGCGACGAUCAGUAGCCGGCUUGAGAGAGUGACCGGCCACAUUGGGACUGAGACACGGCCCAAACUCCUACGGGAGGCAGCAGUGGGGAAUAUUGGACAAUGGGGGAAACCCUGAUCCAGCGAACCGCCGCGUGAGUGAAGAAGUAUUUCGGUAUGUAAAGCUCUAUCAGCAGGGAAGAUAAUGACAGUACCUGACUAAGAAGCCCCGGCUAACUACGUGCCAGCAGCCGC